CCUCGUUGCUAGGGAAGUGAGGUCACGCAGUAUGGCGGCUCGGAGGCGGAGGGGGUGAGGCGGUGGUCUCGCGGGCAAUCCGCGUCCAUCCUUCUCGGGAGCUGAGGCGACGGUGCUGUUUCUCUCGCUGGUAUCGAGUGGCGGGACCAAACCGCGAUGGCAUCAGGAACCGCAGGGCUGUGAGGCAGCAGAGGGCGAGCCGGCAGGGCGGGUGGAGCGACAGAACCGGGUCGCUGUCGAACUGAUCUGCCGCCAUGGAGCUGAGGGUUGGGAACCGGUACCGACUGGGCCGGAAGAUCGGGAGCGGCUCCUUCGGGGACAUCUACUUGGGUAAGGAGGGAACUGAUAUUGCUGCUGGAGAGGAGGUUGCGAUUAAGUUGGAAUGUGUGAAAACCAAACAUCCUCAGCUCCACAUCGAGAGUAAAAUCUACAAAAUGAUGCAGGGUGGAGUGGGUAUUCCCACAAUUAAGUGGUGUGGAGCUGAAGGGGACUACAAUGUAAUGGUGAUGGAGCUGUUGGGACCGAGUCUUGAAGAUCUCUUCAAUUUUUGUUCAAGGAAAUUUAGUCUCAAGACAGUCUUAUUACUUGCUGACCAAAUGAUUAGUCGGAUUGAAUAUAUUCACUCUAAGAACUUCAUCCACCGAGACGUGAAGCCAGAUAACUUCUUAAUGGGCCUGGGGAAGAAAGGCAAUCUUGUCUACAUAAUAGACUUUGGAUUAGCAAAGAAGUAUCGAGAUGCUCGAACUCACCAACAUAUUCCAUAUCGUGAGAAUAAAAACUUAACAGGAACUGCUCGUUACGCAUCCAUCAACACUCAUCUUGGAAUUGAGCAAUCUCGCAGAGAUGACUUGGAGUCCUUGGGCUAUGUACUGAUGUAUUUUAACCUGGGCUCCCUCCCCUGGCAGGGACUGAAAGCAGCAACAAAGAGGCAGAAAUAUGAACGUAUCAGUGAAAAGAAAAUGUCUACACCCAUUGAGGUUUUGUGUAAAGGAUAUCCUUCUGAAUUUGCCACAUACUUGAAUUUCUGCCGUUCUUUGCGUUUUGAUGACAAACCAGACUAUUCCUAUCUAAGGCAGUUAUUCAGAAACCUCUUCCACCGUCAAGGCUUCUCUUACGACUAUGUGUUUGACUGGAACAUGCUGAAGUUUGGUGCAAGCAGAGCAGCUGAAGAUGCUGAGCGUGAAAGGCGAGAACGAGAGGAAAGACUGAGACAUACACGAAAUCCAGCUGUGCGUGGAUUACCCUCCACUGCUUCUGGCAGGCUGAGAGGGACACAAGAUGUAGCUCCUACUCCUCUUACCCCAACUUCACAUGCUGCCAACACCUCUCCUCGGCCAGUAUCUGGUGUGGAACGAGAAAGGAAAGUGAGUAUGAGAUUGCAUCGCGGUGCCCCAGUCAAUAUCUCAUCAUCUGACUUAACAGGCCGACAAGAUACCUCUCGCAUGUCAACUUCGCAGGGUAUCUACACAGACUAAGUAACGUGUGGCCUGGCUUUGUACAGCUUACCUUCAGUCUUACAGAAUGGGGAAUCACCUGUGCUGUAGGAGUACUGCAACAUUACAGGGAGAGCAGUCUGUUAGGAGGACUGGUGCAGACGCCUAGGGCUUUUUCCAUCACUCCUCAGUGCUGUGUUGGAGUUCUAACUGCAUAAUUUUUGCUGUGGACUCAUUUUAUUCCUCGUUGAUGGAACUUAUUAAUAAAAAGUAACUCAGUUUCUUUUUGGCUUCAUCAUUUAAUUGGCAGAAUUCAUUAUUUUCGAUAGUAUGAGUUUUUAGACACAAAAUCUUACUGCUAGAGGGAAUGCUCUUUUAGAUGGAGGCCAGGUGGAUGUCUCUAAUGAAGACUGAGGGUGAACUGGAUCGGAGAAACAAUUCUGCUGUAACAAAAGUGAAGUGGGAUUUUUCGGGUUGGUUUUCAGCUGAAUUAAUUGUUUCACUAUGUAGCCGCACAAAUGUUUGUGCUUGCACAAGGGAUGAACAGUUCAGGAGCAGAAAGGACUAGACAAGAAUAGGAGACAGGUGAGGUUUUCUCUGUUGGUGGCAAUUUUUGCCAGCCUAAAUUGUUUACUGAACUACAAUUAUUACCACCAGAAAUUAUCAUGUUGAAAUAUUUCACGGCUGAAGUUUGUAAGCAGUAUGAGAACAAAGAGGGUAGAACUGUGCAUAGUUCUUGCAAAUAUUCAUAAACACCUGAUAGAAGAAUGUAAAGAAGGUGCAGCCAGAUUCUUCUCGGUGAUACCCAGUGGUUGGACAACAGACAGUGGUCACAAAUUGAAAUAUAAGAAAUUCCAUUUAGACAUAAGAAGAAACUUUUUUACUGUCAGGGCGGGCAAGGACUGGAACAGGUCGCCCUAAGGGAUCGUGGAGUCUCCCUCUUCCAAAUUACUCGAAACCCAAUUGGACGCUGUCCUGAGCAGCCUGCUCUAGUUGACUGCGCUUUGGGUAGUGAGAUUGGACUAGAUGAUCUCCAGUGGUCCCUUCUGACCUUGGCUGUUCUGUGAGGCUGUGACGCCGAGUACCUCCUGAACGUUUAUUAAAAGGUAAAGAUGGUUUCUUGGUACAGUGUGUAUGGCCAGGGUUUGUCUCUGGCAUUCUGAUCAAAUCUCAGAUGCUUUGUGUCUGUUACCAGUCAGAUAAAUGCUUAAUGGGAGUAAUAGAAGUAGGUGCAGUUAUGUAACUUGAAUAUACUAGAAGAGAGUAUACCUUUCAUUUUUUGGCUAUAUUACUUACACGUAGCUCAGUGCACACGUGACACUUUUCUAAACAUUGUAAGGUACGAGUAAUCCAUGUGGGUCUGCAGAUACAUUUUGAUUCCCACUGUAAAAUGGGAGUACCUUGAGAUUGUGUAGGACUGUGAGGUUUUUUGAGUAGUCUUUAAAUAACCAGAUGCGUAAUUUGUGCUGUGGGUCAAAAGUACAGUCUGACUUAAUGGCACAUUUCCAUACCCGCCCUCUUGCAUGCUCUGCUCCAAGUGUGGCAUCACUGAGUUGACUACUUUAUAUUCCCAAUAGUGGCCUAGUCGGGAUCUUCUCUGGGCUUGUUAGAACCAAUUGUUCAUCAUCUGUUGUCUUCAUUUAGUUCUUAUCAAGGCAGUGAAUCACUGCUUGUCUCCGCUCACGGUGGCUGUAUAAGUGUGUGACUGUAGUAUAAUAUAAACAGUUUUCCACGGGUCUCUCAGAUUUGGAAGGCAAAAGAGAUUUGCUUAGACUUUUACCUUGUAACACUUCCCCUUGAGCUCAAGAGAGAAAAUUUGCUUUUUGUUUUCCCAGUUCUCGCUUACUGCUUAGCAGGCCAGGUGGCUGAAGUUGCAAGUUUUCAUAGUUUAUGCUCUUACUAUCUUCAUAACGUUAAAGGAGUUCUUCUGUAAUCAAAAUUUAUCCACAGAUGUUAACUAGAUUACCAACUGAAGCCACGGGUUUCCCAUUAUCUUUAUACCUUGUUCUUAGUCAGAAAAACCUAAGGUAUCCAGCUUGCAUGGCAAAGUUAUUAAGGAGCAUUUUGCUUGGCUAGGCGUAAGAAUAUAGAAGAUCAUCCAUAACACUUCUUAUCUGGAGAACAGUAAAGAAAAGUAAUGGUUUGUUUAUGUCCGUUCCAAGUGUGUUAGUUUCCUUUGUAAGUCUUAAGUAAUGUUACCACUGUUCCUUUUUCAGAAAGUGUUUAGGCCAUACUCCUGGUAGAAAGCGGCUUUUAAAGUAUGCUAUGCAGAUCUACAGAUGUCUUACGUUAAAAGAACUACAUUUGUUUGAAUUGUUAUUUGUAACUUGACAAAUCAGUUUUGUUAUUUUAUUUUGUUUGGAUGCCCUGGUUUGGUAAGGCAACACUGCAUCUGUAAUCCCCACCUCAUCAUACAGAGGGUGGGCUACUGCUUGUUAAACUCCGGGCAGUGGAAAUGUGCAAAAGUUACUCAAAAAAAUAAUGAAAGCUACUUACCUCUAAGUAGAGUUCUUAAAGGUGACUCCACAUUUUUAUCUUUCUUUUUUUCCAAAAUGAGUUCUGAUCAGUUCAGUCUGAAACUGAAAACUAAGGCUGGGAAUGUAGAUAAUACAAACCAAAAUUCUCAUAUGGAAAAUAGGUCUUCUCAGAGAAAUUUAACACUCGUGGAAAAAUGGUAAUUGGUAAGGAUAGCAAAAUAGGUGUCAUGUAUAUUCCCUGCCUCUAAGGUAUUGUCCACAUAGUACCUAAAUCAUUCUCAUUAGAAGGACUAAUGCUUUGUAACAAGUGUUUAUUGGAGUAACAACUAGCAUGUCUACAAAACUGUUCAUGAAAUGUGUUUCUAAUGAAAUUACAUAAACACUAUGGCACGCAUUAUUCCGUACUUUUCUCGAUUAUAUGGAAGUGAAUGCAGCAACUAAAAACCUGGAAGUUCUGAGAUGUUUGACAGCGAUAAACAUUAGUGAGAGUUGAGCAGUCAGGUAAAGCCUGUUCAAAUAAGAUGUGUAUUACUGCAGCACUCCAAAACCUGGUUAGGUUGAAGGAGUGGAGCCCAUUGUCUUAUGUGUGGGAACUAUACCUGUGGUAAGCAAUGACUGAGAAAGCUUUAAGCGUAAUAUUGGGGUGGUCAAUGUGAUGGCAUAAUGAAAGGGCAUAAUUUCAUCCUUGAAUCUAUGUAUGCUACAGUAGCGAACAGAAAUUGAGAGGUUAUUUCAUGUCAUUAAUGAGACGGAUGCUGGGAUAUUAUGCUUAGUUCAGUUAGUAUCCUAAAUUGUUGAAAAACUGUAAGUAACACAGGUAAGAGACAUAAAAAUUGAGCUUGGGAAAACGGAUUGUACGGUACAAGAGUUUCAAAUUGGCGUCUUCCAGUUUCUCUGAAAGGUGAGAGAUCAUCUUGAGUUAGUUGGUGUAGUACUUUAGAAACAAUGACUUUAACAGGAACUGACAUUUAUGCAGAAAGCAUGUGAAGAACCUAUUGCUUAAAAUUUAAACCACACGCAUUUAGAGAAAAGUGAAACAGAGGUCUUGAGUAAAGGCAGUUAGCCACUGAAACCUCAAAAAGAAGCAGAUCAUCUGUCCCCUUCGCUUUUGCAUCAAAACUGGGUUCGUUUCUAGGUGGUAUAUUUGGGUCUAAAGCAAGCCUAAAUUACAGGUCUCUGUGCAAUGAAGAGUUGUGACAUGUGCUGGACAGAAAAUCAUACCAGCUGUUAAAAAAUCCUUCUGCUCUUAAACUCCAUGUUCUGCUCUUAAACUCCAUGAGUGAUUUGUUUACUAAGUCUCCUUUACCUGGUCAGUCUUUAAAUGUUAAGAAACAUAGUAAAAGGAGGUCAUGAGUAUUCCAGUAAAUGCUACUUUGAAUCAGUUCUGUUGGUCCACAUUGCACAGACUGCAUCCGGAAAGCAGUGGUCAUCUCAAAGAAUCUAGUUACGGGUGAGUAGCCUUCAUUUCCUUUCACAGAAGGUUCAACCCGACUGCCUGUGUUAUACAGUAAGUUGUUUAAUUUUUCUUCCUGAAUGUAGCAUGUUCAGCAGCCAACAGUCAAAUCUGUGUAUUGUUCCUACUGGUAAUAGAGGUAUUCUCUCUGUAGUCGAAAGAAAAGAUUGGAAUGCUGCACAAAGAAAUAUCUGAUUAAGUCUCUUUGACAAGAGUUUUCAGAAGGCUGUAGCCAACGCUGGCAUUGAACAACUUAAGUGUUGUGCCACUUCCCUGGGGAAAAAGCAACGUACUUCCAAUGCCUCUGCAUUUUCCAUCUCCUCAUGAGCAAGUCUUUCUCCGUAUACCCAGCUUAACAGGCAUCAUGCUCUGUGUUGCUCUUCUGACCCUGUCAUCUUUCUCUGAGGAGUAAGGCUUUGUUCCUUUUAUGUAUCUCUUAAUAUGAUAGAAAUGUCUUAAGAAGUCUGAAUUCAGAGCUCCUCAAAAGAUACGUUUGCUACUGGAAGCUUAGGUUGGAUAUUUGUUAGACAUCUUUAUAUAUUGGGGCAGUGAAACUGUUACAAAUUGCUGUCUUUUCCCCUACCUCAGAAUAGCAUUCCUUUCGAACACCAUGGCAAGUAGCUGCUCGUCUCCUUUCGUUGGAAGGCAGCACUGGGUGAAUUUUCCAUGUUAACUUCUAAUAAAGGAGGAAAAUACAGGGAACUUCGUGUAGCUACAGAUUCCUGCUCGGGUAACUACCAGUGUUCUCCAGUCUGCUGUGCACCGAUGAAAAUUAUUUUGCCAUGGAGGGCAGAUAAUGCAUGGCUGAUCUCCUAUGUUACCAAUGGC